rnacentral:misc_RNA from 1 species
CUGACAAUAUCAUUAAGCCUUUCAUCUGGUUUUACAUAAUCAGAGAGACCAAAGUCAAUGGCUUUUAAAGGAGAGUUCUCAUCCUUUGAAACGAAAAGAAAAUUCUCAGGCUUUAGGUCACGAUGAACAACCCCUUGAAGAUGACAAUACGAGACCACGCUUAGAAGUUGUACCAUGACAGCUUUGGCAUCGUCUUCCGAGUAUUUCCCACCCCUUGCAAGUAUCCGGUCCAGCAAUUCUCCUCCUUUACAUAACUCCAUGACUAUAUAAACAUUUUCCUCGUCCUCAUAGGCAUCAUAGAAUUGAACCAGAUUCCUAUGUCCUGUUAAAGCGCGCAAUAUUUUGACUUCUCUUCUUACAUCCUCAAUUGCAAUUGCUGUAGUCAUCUUUGAUUUUGGGAUAACUUUUACAGCUACAUCAUGCCCUUUCAAGCUCCCUCUUUUCCCCUUAGCUGCUGAAGUAUAACCAAAAUGCCCUCUUCCCACUUCUUCUCCAAGAUCAUAGUGACUAUCAAAAUUCUUUGAGUACCCAAAUAUCUUAUCCAAACCAAUAUCACAUUCACUCCCUUCUGGAAUUGUAGCUUCAUUAGGUUUAAUUGAGCCAUGCCUUCUAGCAAGUAAUGCCCUAAUAUGCUUAGCUGGUGAUGGUGGUACACGUUUGAGAAAUCUCAAAGGUGUUGAAGUCACACUAGAAUUAGCAGGAGAGUUCUUGAAUGCACUAGGCAAAGGACUUGGACUAUAAAAAGGGAAUUUUGGUGUUUUCCCAGUGUGGGAAUUCAAUUCUUGCUCAUUAUCAAUGGGAAUUAUGGGAUUUUCAGACAGGUUUUGUGGGGAUUGAAUAGGUUUCCCAUGACAAAGUCCCAUGGAAUCAACAACCCAAUUUUACAACACACAAAUCAGUUAAUAAUCAAAAGAAGAACAGUAAAGAUAAGAACUUUUUUACACAGAGGAAACACAGGGAACUAGACCAUUACAAAGGGGAGUAAAUUCUCAAGAAACAAAAAUACAAGAAAAGGAGGAAUUCCCAGAAACCCAAACAGCUAAAGAAGUAAGAAAGUUACAAUCUUGGGACUGCAAAACUAGAAAGAUGAGAUUUUUAAGCUUGAAACAGCAGAACCAAGAAGGGAUCAACAAAGAAUUAAGCUUAUGGUAUUUAAGGUCCAAGACAAUUUCUAGGAAAAAGAGCAAAUCCCAAGAAAAAGGAAUUAAACUUUGUGAUCAAAUGAUCAAUGCCAGAUAGGCAACAACAAUAACUAUCAAGAAUCAAAGAUUUUACUAACAGGUUUUAGCUGAAGAAAUGUAAAGAAAUAUAGGAGGUAGUGGGGAAGUAUGGAAUCAAAGUAAAGCAAGGAAAAAAAAUAUAUAUUAUUAUUUUUUUACCAAAGAGUGAACAAGAAUGAUAAGAAGAGCAAAAAGUGAGAAAAAAAGAUGCUUAAGCAAUAGCAG